rnacentral:rRNA from 1 species
GAGCCGCUAGCAGCAGGCCAGCCAGCAGCCGCCCCUGUUCCUCCUCUCACUCGGAUUUUCCCUCUCCUUCUUCUCUCUCAAUUUUUUCCAUGGACAACCCCCACAGCACCCCACCCGCCAUCUCCGGCCACUUAUCCAUCGGCCUUGUGCUCCUCCGCCUCGAUCUAUCUGCCGCGUCACCGGAUCCACGCCGGAGCAGCCGAAUCCGCAGCCUCCUGCCUCGUCUGCCGUCGGGAGAGCCGCCUCACGCAGGCCAGCCGUCUACUCCUCCUCUCUGGGCUUUUUUCCCCUUCUCUCUCUCUAAUCUCUGUUUUCUCCAGGGAAGGAAGUGGCCAUGGAACACAACCCGCAGCACCCUUAUUCUCGCUGCCAGAAACCUCUCUGUCAGCCUCGAGCUCCUCUGCCUCGAUCCGUCUGUUCGACCCGCCGCCGCCUCCUGCAUCGACUAUCGUCUGGAGGAGGACAACCGAGAGUAGUGCCCGUUCGUCUGCCGCGUGGACUGGCUCAGCCCAGCUCGCCCGCUAG